rnacentral:tRNA from 1 species
UGCAUCAGCCAGGAAUCGAACCCGGGCCGCCCGCGUGGCAGGCGAGCAUUCUACCACUGAACCACCGAUGG